rnacentral:rRNA from 1 species
AUGGGGAACAUCCUCAAUUUCACAACUGCUGUGACAGAUCAUUGCCAUCCAGGGCAACUACGCCGAUGCGGCGUCGGCAGGAGGAGAAUAGCAAUCCAUCAGCUCGACACAUUGAUCAUUCUGGCUUUCAGAGCUUUAUUAUGCAAGCACAUACAACGGCAUGAGGCGUUCCGUCGAAAGCGGAUAGCCAGCGGCCAGUUUCAACUGCUGAGCAUUCUGCUUUGCGGAGCUGUCCAUGCCAAGGGAAUAGCGGCCGGCGAUCGGUUUAAACUGUGUGGCAUUCUGAUAUGUGGAGUUAUAUCUGACCACAUCAUCUGUCACGACGCAAAGGAACCACAUGUUGACCACCGAAGAAGCAGCAGCAGCAGGAUAGCACGCCACCGGUUUGAACCGUUGAUCAUCCUGGCUUUCAGAGCUACAUUGGAGCACAUACGGCAACAUAAAUCAUUUGUUCAAAAGCCAAUAGCCAAUGGCCGGUUCCAGCUGCUGGGCAUUCUGCUCUGCGGAGCGAUCCAUGCCAAGGGAAUCACAGCGAGUGAUCGGUGUAAAACUAAAAUGUGUGGCAUUCUGCUAUGCGGAGUUAUGUCUGACUACUUCUAUGAUGAUGCAAAGGACCCACCGACUGAUGUGCUUCAAGACCUUCCAGAGGGCUUACUUUCGACAAUUUUUUCAAAGUUGCCUCUAGAUGCGGCUGUUAGGACCAGUGCCGUGUCAAGGCAAUGGAGGUACUUGUGGACAGAUUGUCCUAAACUGAGUUUCGACGGGGAUACACUGUGUGGCAGCAACAAUUAUGGGAUAAGAGUAUAUACUUUAAUGUUCCUUCGCAUUGUUAAUAGAGUCCUGUCACAGUGCUGUGGCAAGCUGGUUGAAGAGCUUGCGAUCAAAAUUGAGUUGAACUGGAUGUUGGUUGAGCAUCUUGAUGAUUGGGUUCGUUUUGCUGUAUCAUCGCGGACAAAGGCACUGGUUUUUGAUUUAGCACCAGAAGAGCGUCAACUUGCAGGCCGGGAUGAUCGGUACAGAUUCCCAUUUGAGCUCUUAGACAAGGACAGUGUACGUCAUCUGCAGAAAAUUCGUCUUAGCUUUGUAGACUUGCAGUCACCAAUGCAUUUCAGUGGUUUCCCUAAACUACGGCAGCUUGACCUGAACUUAGUGAAUGUCAAUGGGAAGGAUAUUCCAUAUAUGUUGUCAAACUGUCGUAACCUAGAGUGGCUGAGUAUGGUUAGAUGCCAUCUCAAUGGUGAACUAAAGGUUUACAGCCCAUUGCCUCAUCUGCUAUACUUGAAAAUUGUGUCCUGCGAUGUAACAAGUAUAGCAUUCGAUGCAGUGAACCUUGCGACUUUUGAAUACAAAGGAAUGAAGGUGCCUAUUGACCUCAGUAAAUCAUCGGAACUGGUAUGUGCGGACAUAUCGUUUUCUGCAGUCACUUUUGAGCUUGCUAUUAAUUUGCUUGCUAAAGUCCUUACGAAUGUGAAACAUCUGACCCUCGAUACGGCCUGUAAACCACCAGAGAUUCCCCAUUUGAUGUGUUACCAAUGCAAGUUUUCUCAGAUGACAUAUUUACAAUUGAGGCUGGUAUAUGUCCAAGAAUUUGAUGUCUUAUCUUUGGUCUCUUUUCUGAGGUCUGCUCCUUUUAUUGAGAAGUUAGUUCUGCACUUUUGUCUCCCUGACGUGUGUUUGGUACAAGAAUCUGAACCUAUCAGGAAGCUACCGGAGUGUUUGUACAACAAUUUGAAGAGCUUGCAUAUUACAGGAUUUAAAUCAUGUGCUGGCCAAGUUGAGUUCCUUUUGCAUAUGGUGGAAAAUGCUCCCACAUUGGAGGUUUUAAGUGUAGAUCAAUCAGAAAAAUAUCUCCUAGAAGGCCAUGAAAAAGAUAUGACUACGGUUGUUGAAUUGGUCCAUAGAACUACUAGAAGGUGUCUUGAAGGAAAGAUUUCGCCCAAGUGUACCUUAAUUUUACUCUAA